rnacentral:rRNA from 1 species
CUCGCCUGGUUAACAAAAACAUUUUCUUUGGGUUAGAUCAAAGAUAAGGCCUGCUCAAUGAAUCUUAAAUGGCCGCAGUAUAAUGACUGUGCUAAGGUAGCAUAAUAAUUUGCCUUUUAAUUGGGGGCUAGGAUGAAAGGUUUUAUGGAAAAUAGCUGUUUUAAAAGAAAAAAUUGAAUUUAAGCCUUUCAUAAAAACUUGAAGGGAGGCUCAAGGGACGAGAAGACCCUGUGGAUUUUUAUUUAUUAGAAAAUAGAUUUUAUAACAUUUUAUUUUUUGCUUAAAUUUGGUUGGGACGACAGUAAAGUUAACUUUAUUAAAAAGAUAAUUGAGACCCUUUUUAAGGGAUAAAGAAUAAAUUACCCCAGGGAUAACAGCGUAAUACUUUUGGACAGGACAAAUGGAUAAAAGUGUUUGCGACCUCGAUGUUGAAUUAAAAUACCUUUAUUAAGCAUAAAUAAUAGAAGUAAGUCUGUUCGACUUUUAAAAUUUUACAUGAUUUGAUUUCAGACCGGAU